rnacentral:rRNA from 1 species
AAGCUCGUAGUUGAAUUUCGGGAUCAGUAGGUCGGUCAUGCCUAUGGUAUGUACUGGCUUUACUGGUUCCUCCUUCUUGAUGAUCUGUAAUGUCAUUAAUUUGGUGUUGCAGGGAGUCAGGACUGUUACUUUGAAAAAAUUAGAGUGUUUAAAGCAGGCAUACGCUUGAAUACAUUAGCAUGGAAUAAUGAAAUAGGACGUUCGAACCUAUUUUGUUGGUUUCUAGGAUUGACGUAAUGAUUAAUAGGGAUAGUUGGGGGCAUUAGUAUUCAAUUGUCAGAGGUGAAAUUCUCGGAUUUAUUGAAGACUAACUACUGCGAAAGCAUUUGCCAAGGAUGUUUUCAUUAAUCAAGAACGAAAGUUAGGGGAUCGAAGACGAUCAGAUACCGUCGUAGUCUUAGCCAUAAACUAUGCCGACUAGGGAUCGGAUGAUGUUAAUUUUUUAAUGACUCAUUCGGCGCCUUACGGGAAACCAAAGUGUUUGGGUUCCGGGGGGAGUAUGGUCGCAAGGCUGAAACUUAAAGGAAUUGACGGAAGGGCACCACCAGGAGUGGAGCCUGCGGCUUAAUUUGACUCAACACGGGGAAA